UACGAAGGGGGCUAGCGUUGCUCGGAAUCACUGGGCGUAAAGGGUGCGUAGGUGGCCUUAUAAGUCAGCGGUGAAAGUCUGCAGCUUAACUGUAGAACUGCCAUUGAUACUGUAAGGCUUGAGUACUGAUGAGGUAGGCGGAAUUGAUAGUGUAGCGGUGAAAUGCAUAGAUAUUAUCAAGAACACCGAUUGCGAAGGCAGCUUACUAAGGAGUUACUGACACUGAGGCACGAAAGCGUGGGGAUCAAACAGG
rnacentral:rRNA from 1 species